AAAAAGACAAACCCUGAUUUCCGUGCCCAAUAUUUGACCGUUCGUCUUAUUUAAAAAAUUAUGAAAAAAAUUAAAAAGACAAGUCACGCAUAAAAUAUUAAUCAUGUUUUAUCAUCUAACAACAAUAAAAAUAUGAAUUAUAAAAAAAUUUCAUAUAAGACGGAUAGUCAAAGUUGGACACGGAAACCCAGGGUUUGUCAUUUU
rnacentral:pre_miRNA from 1 species